GUGGGGAAUAUUGGGCAAUGGGCGCAAGCCUGACCCAGCAACGCCGCGUGAAGGAAGAAGGCUUUCGGGUUGUAAACUUCUUUUACCAGGGACGAAACAAAUGACGGUACCUGGUGAAUAAGCCACGGCUAACUACGUGCCAGCAGCCGCGGUAAUACGUAGGUGGCGAGCGUUAUCCGGAUUUAUUGGGUGUAAAGGGCGUGUAGGCGGGACAGCAAGUCAGAUGUGAAAACCAGAGGCUCAACCUCUGGCCUGCAUUUGAAACUGUUGUUCUUGAAUGUCGGAGAGGUAAUCGGAAUUCCGUGUGUAGCGGUGAAAUGCGUAGAUAUACGGAGGAACACCAGUGGCGAAGGCGGAUUACUGGACGAUAACUGACGCUGAGGCGCGAAAGCGUGGGGAGCAAACAGGAUUAGAAACCCCUGUAGUCC
rnacentral:rRNA from 1 species